rnacentral:lncRNA from 1 species
CACAAGGUUUGCUUGAUUUGAAGGGGGAUGCUUAUCAGGAUGAAGAAUUUACAUAGUAAACAGCAACUGAACACAUUGUAGGGGGCGAAGGGAAUAUUUACUCUAGCAGCCAGUUUUAACAUAGUGAACACAGAAUAAAUAGACAUUAGUAAAUAGCCAUUUUAUUUUAAUUCAUCUGUCCAUAACAGUCCCCCCUUAAAAUGGCAAUUUUUACUAAAACUACUAUCUCUCAUUCUAAUACUGUCCCUAUAGAAAAAUAACAAAAGGCUAUCUUGCACAUCUGUCUGAACAGGCCUCGAACACUUCACUGCGCGGGUACCCCAUAGCAGCUUGUCCACUACUUCUCCCGCGGCAGACUUCUGCCCGUAGAGACAGACGCUAUCCCUAAAUGUCCUUAAGAGGAAGUAGCGGUUGAUUUAGUGCGGUGGGACUGUAAGGGUGUAUGUGGUGUAUCACGGUCGAUAUCGUCAAUCUCUUGGUGAAGGAAGGUCGGGGUGGUCUGGUCGAUUGUCUGAUCAACUGUCUUUUGUAGGCAUUUCUUAAGACAGGGUAACACACAACAAACAAGAAGAGCGAGGAUGAUUAUCGUUAUUAAAAUGGCAACACCAAUUUGGGCCAGAGCACCUUGCCAUCCAGUCAUCCAUCCAAACCAUCUUUCCCAUGGAUCUGCGGCCCCAGAAUUUCGUUUCAGCUCAUUGGACAAACUCUUUAACUUUUCUAUUGCCAACGUUACCUUACCAUUAGGGCCUGUAUUGUCUGGAAUAUAGGUACAGCAUGUUAUGGUGUCUGGGAGUAUUUUACAUACUCUCCCUUUUUCUGCCAAAAUCAUUUUAAAGCUUAUUCUAUUCUGGAAGGUCAUCUGAGAGGUAGCUUGUAACCGCCCUAUCCCACCAUAUAUCCCAUAACAAGUAUAGUUCCCAGGAUAUAUAGUAAUGCCUUCGUUUGGGCAUAAUAUUUUUAGUAAUGAUUGGGUAUUAAGUUUCCAUGACUCGCAUGCUGACCGCUUAGGUUUAAAUACAGUGUAGAGACUUAAAACGCAUACUUCAUAUCCGGAGGAAGGUUCAGGGAUACUGUACCUGGGUGAGGCCUCGCUCCUCUGCAGACAUAGCAGUUAGACUUGUUAUGUUUAGUAGCAUUGUAUUUCAUCCAUUCAAGUCACAAGUUAGUGUCAGAGAAACCUGCCUCAAAUAUGGGAUGACUACCAUGUCUUUUAAAGUCCUAAUGUGUGGUUUGAGGGGAUUAACAGUCAUGUGCGUGGCACCUACCCAUUCAGCUGAGUCAUACAUGUCCUGUAAGAAAAAGGUCUCCUGUUUAUUGUAUAAACCUCUUCCCUUCCAAUUCAGAUUUUAUUAGCCGUAAUGCUUGGGAGAAUAGAUUCAAACUUAGUUUCUUACCUUAAAAUCAUUUGGUACCCCCCUUGACACCCCUAUGGCAUUAAUAUACAUAUAUAUGUGUGGGUAAAACCACCCUUUAUAGGGGUACUCCUUUUUGUCCUGAAGCAUGAAUGAGGUGUGUCAAGAGUACCUUGGGGAUUGUCAUGUGUUAUGUGUAUGGACAUAAUAACCUAGGCUAGGGCACAUUUACUUAUUCUUAGAAAUCUUGUCUCAUGCUACCCUAGUACUGGCAGAUUCAGAUCAUUUAAACAUUCAAUAUUAAUAUCACCACAAACUCAAGAUAAGCAGAUGAUCCUGAAGAAGCUUUGACUGUGCGUAUGGCACCUCAGACAUGAGGGCUGCAGGGUAAGGAGUAUGUUUGUUUCUCUUUAGUUUCACGAGGUCCCCUUUUGGGGUAUUCGACUUUCCAUCGAUGGCAGGUGGUCAGGCAUUAUUAUGGCCAUCAAAACACCCACUUGUUGAUAUUUAUUUAUUUAUUUAUUUUCAACAAGUAUCUUUGUUCUCUAAGAAUGGAGUUUCAAAAAGGGUUGUCAAGAUCAACAAAUGCUACUUCACAUAAUGCAGAGGCAGGCUUGAUUCUGGAAUGAUGAAUCCACGGGGUGAUCUCUGUAACUUUCACAGUGCACUACUCAGCAUGUGGUCUUGGUUAUCACUUUGGUGGCUGGAUAGGCCUCUGGCCAUCCUGAAAACAUGUCUGCUAUAAUUAGUGCAUAGUUGAAUCAGCCAUUCUUUGGCAUUCUGGAUGUAGUCGACUUGACUCCUCUGGAAGAGAUAAUGAGGUUUGGCUAGAUGCUUUGGCUCCAUUCUUCCUGAGUUGCCCUUGGCACAAAUGGCACAAGAUUUACAGUAACUGUUGGUCAGAGAGGCAAUUCCUGAUACUUCAGAGUAUUUAUUGAUCAAAAGAGUUCAUGAGGGUUCUGGACAGAUGCUCCGUAGGCCCACUGGACCACUGCUGAGUAUAUGUUCUUGGGCAAGUAGAACUUGAGAUUGUUGAAGUACAGCCUGUCUUUAAGAGUUGCCCCUUUCUGUUUCCAGCUUGUGGUUUGUUUGUUUUUUCUUUCUUUCCAGGGUCAGUAGCUUGAGGUCUGUGGGUAGGAUCUUACAUGGUGAUUAUGGGAGUUUCUUCAGUAGACACUUUUCUGUCCACUUUCCUUAGUGCACUUACAACUUAUUGAACAACUUAGUCAGCCAGAGAGUUGCCACAUGCUUUCUCCGAGAUCAGUCUUCCUUCAGAGAUCUUGCAUGCUGUGAUGGGAGCCUAUAGCUCAACUUCUUGUGCAGACAUUGUUGAGGUGAGAUACCUGGUCCACUGUAGUGACAGCAAAUCCGGAAAAGAUCAUAAGAAAAAUGCUAAAAAAAAAUAAUAGUCAGUGUCUUAUCAUUUCCCCCCUUGGGAAGUGGCAGAAGAGUGGCCAGGUAAAUAGAGUAUCAUCCCUGCAGGGUGACAUUAUCCUGCACAGAAUUCGUCCAUCACAAGGAGAGGUGGGAUAUUGCAUGGAAAGUCUCAGGUAACCAGGGCAACAUUUGACACCAGAGCCUUAACCUGUUAGGGAAUAGUAAGAGCUUGGACAGGCUUUGGGGCCUGUAUAAUUCAGGUAAAGGUAUUGGGGGAACUAGCUAGGACCCUUGCCUCUUGGUCAGGUUUCACUGUGUGGAACAAAAUAAAUAAUAAGGUGAUAGGGGCCUUCAAGUGGGGGAAGGACAUCUGCACCUAGCAGAUUAAUUGGACAGGUGAAAGUAACCACAAAGCAAGGCUUAGUUAACAGGCUACUCCAAAGAGAGCCAUCUACACUUAUGCAGGAGACAACAAUGUUAGACAGGAAUGAGGAGUCAGGCAGGCCUUGCUUGGUACAAAUAGAUGUCAUGUGGCCUGCUAUACAAGGCUGCAUAUAGUUGUUGGGCAUGGGCCUUACUAUGUACUAAAACUUAAGUUAAAAGAAAAUUUGGGACAACCUGAAGUGAUACUUCUCCACAGAUGCUAACUCAUCGUUGAUCACAUUGUUAAUACAGGUAGCCUGAUCAGCCAAUUUAUCUUAGGCUUAAACAAGUCACACCAUGUAGUGGAAUUGGUCAUUAGGAUUCGGGAAAUUCUACAGUAAAAGGGCAUAGUAAGGAUGUACGCGAUGUUACUUUAGGAGUAGGCGUAGCUGUGGAUAGGGGUAAAUCAGCCUUAUCCAUUCCCAUAUAUUAUUCCUUUUGUCUUCAGUAUAUCCAAACCAUGUGUAUGUCCAGGCGUUGCAAUAUACAGUAAUCCAUUAUCAGUCAUGAUAUUAAAAUCUCAUUCUCAUGAAUUAAAUCAAAGAUUUUAAAUCAACCUCAGAAGCAACAAAGAAUAAAUCUAUUGUUUUUUCUUCUGUAAAAUGAUUGGAGUUACUAUAUAAUUGCAUACACCCAACAUAACAUUGCAUGUUCCUCACUGCUACAUUAGUGUAUCUCAUUCUGCCAUAUGUGCAAACUUGAUUUAAAUUUUUAUUUUAAUUAACCUAAUACUUUCUUAUAACACAUAUAAAAACAAUGAAAGACAGUACAGACUAACAAUUCAUUUAAAACAAUAAACUGACAUAGAUCUCUAUUCUUGUGCUGUUCUUAAUUCUGGAAUCAGCUUGUGUACAUCUGUUGGCAGACAUAUCCAUGCUCAUUCCCUAAACUGAUCAUAUCUCUUGAAGUUAUCNNNNNNNNNNNNNNNNNNNNNNNNNNNNNNNNNNNNNNNNNNNNNNNNNNNNNNNNNNNNNNNNNNNNNNNNNNNNNNNNNNNNNNNNNNNNNNNNNNNNAUAUACUUGAAAGUAUUCUACACGAAAAUGCAAAAUCUCGUGAAUUGCUGCCAAAUUCAAAACCAACAUCAGACUUUGCUCUAUCUGAUAAUUUCCCUUGUGGCCAUUAGUUUAGUUUCUUUAAUAACAUUUAUUAUACUUAUUGUGGAGUGUCUUAGAAAACAGUGUUACAGCUAUAAUAAUAGUUGCUGUUUUAUGAAUAGGCAACAAUCAAAUUAUAGCACAUGGUGAUUUGGACCAAAGAAAACUUUGAUAAUUUGUCUAUCUACACCUUCCAAAUUGAUUGAUUAAUGCGUGCACGCUUUCCCUAGAAGUAAUUCACACCGGAGACAAAGUUUCUGAUCAGUGAAAAACUCAGGAAUGCUUUAUUCCCCGGAGUGGGGGCUCCUUCUUAAAGCAAAAAUACGUCACAGUUUAAACAUACAGUAUACAUUCACCAAUUGGUUAACAGAGAAAGGGGCCUCUUGUUUAAACCUCCCUACAGAAUGUAGUGUCAUCAUUACAGACUUUUGGAUACACGAUGGGAGGGGGAGUGAGUGGUAUCUAUCAGUUCUAAACCAAUGAUCCUCCAUUUAGCUAUACGUGGCAUAUAGCUGUUAACUGGCACAAAGGUAGUGGGGGAGGAGUUAGUAAAGGGAGCUGUUAACACAGGAAUUUUGUUUACACAAGGUUUGCUUGAUUUGAAGGGGGAUGCUUAUCAGGAUGAAGAAUUUACAUAGUAAACAGCAACUGAACACAUUGUAGGGGGCGAAGGGAAUAUUUACUCUAGCAGCCAGUUUUAACAUAGUGAACACAGAAUAAAUAGACAUUAGUAAAUAGCCAUUUUAUUUUAAUUCAUCUGUCCAUAACAGUCCCCCCUUAAAAUGGCAAUUUUACUAAAACUACUAUCUCUCAUUCUAAUACUGUCCCUAUAGAAAAAUAACAAAAGGCUAUCUUGCACAUCUGUCUGAACAGGCCUCGAACACUUCACUGCGCGGGUACCCCAUAGCAGCUUGUCCACUACUUCUCCCGCGGCAGACUUCUGCCCGUAGAGACAGACGCUAUCCCUAAAUGUCCUUAAGAGGAAGUAGCUGUUGAUUUAGUGCGGUGGGACUGUAAGGGUGUAUGUGGUGUAUUACGGUCGAUAUCGUCAAUCUCUUGGUGAAGGAAGGUCGGGGUGGUCUGGUCGAUUGCCUGAUCAACUGUCUUUUGUAGGCAUUUCUUAAGACAGGGUAACACACAACAAACAAGAAGAGCGAGGAUGAUUAUCGUUAUUAAAAUGGCAACACCUAUUUGGGCCAGAGCACCUUGCCAUCCAGUCAUCCAUCCAAACCAUCUUUCCCAUGGAUCUGCGGCCCCAGAAUUUCGUUUCAGCUCAUUGGACAAACUCUUUAACUUUUCUAUUGCCAACGUUACCUUACCAUUAGGGCCUGUAUUAUCUGGAAUAUAGGUACAGCAUGUUAUGGUGUCUGGGAGUAUUUUACAUACUCUCCCUUUUUCUGCCAAAAUCAUUUUUAAGCUUAUUCUAUUCUGGAAGGUCAUCUGAGAGGUAGCUUGUAACCGCCCUAUCCCACCAUAUAUCCCAUAACAAGUAUAGUUCCCAGGAUAUAUAGUAAUGCCUUCGUUUGGGCAUAAUAUUUUUAGUAAUGAUUGGGUAUUAAGUUUCCAUGACUCGCAUGCUGACCGCUUAGGUUUAAAUACAGUGUAGAGACUUAAAACGCAUACUUCAUAUCCGGAGGAAGGUUCAGGGAUACUGUACCUGGGUGAGGCCUCGCUCCUCUGCAGACAUAGCAGUUAGACUUGUUAUGUUUAGUAGCAUUGUAUUUCAUCCAUUCAAGUCACAAGUUAGUGUCAGAGAAACCUGUCUCUACAGCCCUCUUAUCCUCAAAUAUGGGAUGACUACCAUGUCUUUUAAAGUCCUAAUGUGUGGUUUGAGGGGAUUAACAGUCAUGUGCGUGGCACCUACCCAUUCAGCUGAGUCAUACAUGUCCUGUAAG